rnacentral:lncRNA from 1 species
GGAAGGGCGUCUCCCAGUUUCAAAGCUUGCAUUGUACAACGGUGACCUGCCUAUGAGAUUAACUGGUUCAAUAGUGGCCCAAGGGUUAUGGGAGUAACCAACCACUUUUUGAUUGGAUUUAAGUCCCAUUCCAUGAGCUGGAACCCUUAAGGACAUUGCUAAAGUAGCAAAAAAAAAAAAAAAAAAAAAAAGCUGAGACCAGGUCUCAUGGGUCCUAAGGGCAUAGUCUACUACUAUGAUCCCCACAAAUGAGCAUAGCAAUAAAAUUACUCCUAAAGACUUAUUGCUCUACCAAUAGAUCAGAGCAUUGUUCAGUCCUCUUCAGAGCAUCUUCUUGCAGUAGAGGGUAAUUACACAGAGACCCGCAACUAGACAAGAGGCAGACAAUGAGAGACUUUGGAUCAUCCAUCCCAAAAUGAUAUCUUAUCAAACCCCUCCCCUUAAGGUUUAGUCAGCUAGAAAGAGGAGGGAGAAAGAUUUUGAAAGAGCCAGGGGUGGUGGAUGAACUCCAAGAAAACAGCAUCAUUCAGGUCGAAGAAGACUCGUGGAUGGAUGAAUUUGCAGAGGGUGUAGCAGCAUACACAAGACCUGCACAAGUUCAAACCAAACAAGGUCCCAGCACUGAGAAGAAGAAGUGGAUAGAAAGUCCCACCUGACCAAGAACAAAUCUCCAGCUGAUACCUGCUGGGAAAGAAUAAGUAACUUUCCUGCAGCCGAGUGUCGCCGGCUAUGUGUGACCAUGCUCCACACCAGGCUGCCUGCCCAGGGGGAGCUGCUGAUCACAGGCAGGCAGACUCCAUGUUUUCUGUUUCAGAUUUAUUAUCGCACUGUUUGUUUUGAUUUACAUUUUUGGUGAGGGAGAGGAAGAGAGAGAGGAGUUUCGGUAAGGGAAAGACCAUGACUGAAAUAAUAUUGUACGAGAAAUAAUUUUUAAAGAAAAACUUAAUUUUAUAAACAAUCCGGUCUUUCAGAAACAGCAUUUUCUCAUAUAUUUCUCUCCUGGGAAAAAGUCUAACGAUAUGAAAUUAAGCGCCUAACAACUUCCCUCUUUGGUUAUUGUUCCCUAUUUGCUGCAACAAAAUUGCCCAAGUUGGAGGAAGCAAGGACUCAAUUGUCUCACAGUUUGAAGUUACAGUACAUAAUCUUGGCAACAGGAGCUUGAGGCAACUGGUCACAGUGUAUGCGCAGUUGUAAGACCCAAAAAGUCUUAUGUCCAGGAUGUCCCACUCACAGAGACGCAGAGAAGUAGAUGGAUGCAAAAAGCAAGAGGUUUAUUAAUCCAGCAUGCUGGUGUCAUCCUGAAAUCGGGAUAGAGGCGACCACGAGUAGCUAAAGCACACACCUUUUAUACAUUUUGGGGCAGUUUAUCAUUGGUUAACCUUGACCCGCAUUAAGGGGCAGACAUUGUGUGGGCUUUUCUAUUCAAUCAGAGGACUAUCUCUUAGCACACCUUGCAGUGAGGCAAAUUCUGGGAAAAGAACACAUUUACUUAACUCUUUACAACCGUGGUCAUUUUGAGCUACCACAAAUCUGACACAGUCAGGAAGCAGAGUGGUAAAACCUGAGGUUCCUUUUGCUUUCUCCUUUCUAUGCAGUCCAGAACCCGGUCUGAACUGCUUCUGCUCCUAUAUAGGUGGAUUUCCCCACUCACCUCAACAAGAAAACUCUGAGGCACCCAGAUUGGUUUUAGAUACUGUGAAACUCACACUCAAGACUAAUCAUUACAACUUAACGUGCCUAAAUUCCCCUAAAUAUAUGCUAACCUAGCUAAAGGCAUCCCUGGCUGGUCUGUUGCUAAAUUUAGUCUGUUGCUAAAGGUGCGCCCCCCCCCCCACCACACACACACACCACCAAGUCAUUGAAUUUAAAACAAUGCAUGUCAAAAAGAAAGGAAACAGAAGCAUUCUGAAGACAAAGGUUUCUUUUGUAACCACACCUCACAGCCCUAGAUGGAGCCAAAGCUAGGGAGAACAGCCUAGAGAUGGCACUAAAGCAGAUUCAUCAACCUGUGGCACUGGACAGAGCCCAGAAGUCAACCUGUGUGUUCAUGGUCAAUUGAUUUCUCACAAAGGUGCCAAGGACGCACCAAGGGAAACGGAUAGUCUCAACAAUAAACGAGACAGGGGGAAAAGAAAUGAAUAUCUGUGUGCGGAAGACCUUUAUCUUAAAACCAGAUGCAAAAAUCAAGUCAAAAGUGAUUAAGGACUUAAAUGUAAGAAAGUAUGAAUUUUACAUAGAAAUCCCAGAGCACGGGCAAUUACAACCUCAAGCUAAAAGGGUUGAGUUUGGCCUGUUUGCCUGCUUGCUUUAUCACAAGCUUGCCUCCUUACCAGUCUCAUUUAUUGAAAGGGCAGAGUAAACAAUUAAAAGCGACAGGCUUCCUGGAAAGCGGUCACAGGCAGACCUGACGCAGAACUUUGUAGAGAACUUAAACCAGGCAACGGCCUGGGACUUGGGGGCUUUCCGGUUCCUUUUCAUCCCCGUGUCCGCGUCUCUCACGUUAUUUCCCAAGUCUCCUUUCCAGAAUCAGGCUGAUGCUUUAUGCAUAGUCUUGUUUUACUUCCUGCUUUUUCAGUUCUCACUUUUGUUAGUGCCUCGCCCCUCCCCGCCCACUCUCUCUAAAUCCCUGUCUGUGAUCUACUCAGGAAGUCGCAGAGCCACUCCCCUGCCUGGCAUUGUUCAAGCUGCCUAUUCUAUCUCUAAGACCUACAAACGCUGGGGAAAAACCAUCCUUCUUAACAUCCAUUUGUUCCUUUAGGAAAUAUAAUAUUAAUCCUGCAUGCAUCCUUUAAGAAAACUACAUGACCCGUAUUAAUAUCAGGAAACGAAUCCCAGUUCUACCCCUUCCAAAACUUGUUUGACUUUGAUAAUCCUUGCUGGGCUAACAUCACAGUCCUUGUGAUGGUUUUGUUUUGUUUUGUUUUGUUUUCCAAAUGUCUGUAAAAUGUGUUUUAUCUCCGUUUACAAUGUGAAAUUCCCAAUGCUCUUUAGCAUCCUUAAGGUCACACUGGCUUAAUAUUAUAGUCAUAAAUAGGAGUGUCAGUCAUUCUAGUAAGUGCUCUGAAAAUUAACCAGCAUGCCCACUCUUCACUGACGAGAAUUUUUACCUCAAACUAAAUGCUAGUUUGGGAAAGGAGGAAGUCAGCACAGUUGGCGAUGCAGAAUCAUUAAAGGGAUGGAUUUGAGAGGAAGUAGAGGUAACACGGAAGGAGCUGAAAGGGGAAGAGCCUGGGAUAUAUACAUUUUGUGCAUAUAGUGGUCAUGUAUGAAAUUCUC